rnacentral:rRNA from 1 species
GACUGCUAAUACCGCAUAAGCCCACGGGUCGGCAUCGACCAGAGGGAAAAGGAGCAAUCCGCUUUGAGAUGGCCUCGCGUCCGAUUAGCUAGUUGGUGAGGUAAUGGCCCACCAAGGCAACGAUCGGUAGCCGGACUGAGAGGUUGAACGGCCACAUUGGGACUGAGACACGGCCCAAACUCCUACGGGAGGCAGCAUG